AGCUAUCUCUCGGGGGUAGUCAGUUGGUUAUUAUAUCUCCACUAAUGAGCGGAGAGGGGUAAAACCUUCAAAGCAAGUUAUGUGGAUCAAGGUAUAGUGAUUAAUUGGAGUUCUAGUUCAUUUACUUUGAGAAAAUUAGAGUGUUUAAAAGCAGCCUCUUGGGGCACUGAAUACAUUAGCAUGGGAUAAUAAAAUAGGAUCUUCACAAUAUAUUUUAUUGGUUUAAAUUGCGUAUGAAGAUAAUGAUUAAUAGGGGACCAGUUGGGGGUAUUCAUAUUGGGUGGUUAGCGGUGAAAUGCUCGGAUCCAUUCAAGAUGAACUAAAGCGAAAGCAUUUACCAAGGAUGUUUUCAUUAAUCAAGAACGAAAGUUAAGGGAUCGAAGACGAUUAGAUACCGUCGUAGUCUUAACUAUAAACUAUAGCCGACCAGGGAUAUGAGUUGUUAGGAAUAUAUG
rnacentral:rRNA from 1 species